UGACUAUCAGCAUCCUACAGCACACAUCUC
rnacentral:piRNA from 1 species